rnacentral:rRNA from 1 species
CCUACGGGAGGCUGCAGUGGGGAAUAUUGGACAAUGGGCGAAAGCCUGAUCCAGCCAUGCCGCGUGUGUGAAGAAGGCCUUCGGGUUGUAAAGCACUUUCAGUGGGGAAGAAAGCCUUGGGGCUAAUACCCUCGAGGAAGGACAUCACCCACAGAAGAAGCACCGGCUAACUCCGUGCCAGCAGCCGCGGUAAUACGGAGGGUGCGAGCGUUAAUCGGAAUUACUGUGCGUAAAGCGCGCGUAGGCGGUCUGAUAAGCCGGUUGUGAAAGCCCCGGGCUCAACCUGGGAACGGCAUCCGGAACUGUCAGGCUAGAGUGCAGGAGAGGAAGGUAGAAUUCCCGGUGUAGCGGUGAAAUGCGUAGAGAUCGGGAGGAAUACCAGUGGCGAAGGCGGCCUUCUGGACUGACACUGACGCUGAGGUGCGAAAGCGUGGGUAGCAAACAGGAUUAGAUACCCCGGUAGUC